rnacentral:rRNA from 1 species
UACGGAGGGUGCGAGCGUUAAUCGGAAUUACUGGGCGUAAAGCGUACGCAGGCGGCCAUUUAAGUCAGAUGUGAAAGCCCCGGGCUCAACCUGGGAACUGCAUUUGAAACUGGAUGGCUAGAGUGCGACAGAGGGUGGUAGAAUUUCAGGUGUAGCGGUGAAAUGCGUAGAGAUCUGAAGGAAUACCAAUGGCGAAGGCAGCCACCUGGGUCGACACUGACGCUCAUGUACGAAAGCGUGGGUAGCAAACAGG